rnacentral:siRNA from 1 species
UGAGAUACUGAAUUUCUCUGCC